rfam:Onchocerca ochengi, WGS project CAWC01000000 data, contig: 01673_2693
CUAUCUGUGUCAUGAAUGCUAUCCGUCAUGACGGAAAAAAUGAAAGCAUCUUAAACAAAGAUAAUGCAUCAGUGAUUUUUCUUUUCUUAGUUUUAUCAUUUUUGAUUUUUAUUAAAUAAAGUCGAGUGUUAAAGGAUUCGUAAACUCAUUAGAAACCGAAAGAUGAUGAAUUAUAUUCGAGUAGGAUGAAGCCAGAAGAAGCUUUGAUCGAAGCCCAAAGCGAUUCUGAUGUGUAAAUCGAUCGCUUGACAUUGGUGUAGGAGCGAAAGAGACUAAUCGAAUAAUCUAGUAGCUGGUUUCCUCUGAAGGAUAGCUGGAAUACAUAAUGAAGCUGUUACAUUCGGUAAAGCGAAUAUGAUUGGACAAAUUAUGAGGCGAAAUGUCUUCAACUUAUUCGCAAACUUUCAAUAAAUAUGACGUCUUGCUUGCUUGAAUGAAGUGUUGACAUUGAAUGUGUUAGCCCACUUGAGCUAUUUAUCGUAAACAAAAUUGGCGCUGUUAGGAUGAACCAAAUGUUGUAAAUUAGAAGUAAAAAAAAAAGAAUUUCUGCAGAAAAUAUUUAAAACAAAUUGGAAGUCAAAAAGAAUUUCAAAAUUUCUUAUGUAAAUGUUGUGUAUGAAUGAUUUUUU